GAUGAACGCUGGCGGCGUGCCUAAUACAUGCAAGUCGAGCGAACAGACGAGGAGCUUGCUCCUCUGACGUUAGCGGCGGACGGGUGAGUAACACGUGGAUAACCUACCUAUAAGACUGGGAUAACUUCGGGAAACCGGAGCUAAUACCGGAUAAUAUAUUGAACCGCAUGGUUCAAUAGUGAAAGGCGGUUUUGCUGUCACUUAUAGAUGGAUCCGCGCCGCAUUAGCUAGUUGGUAAGGUAACGGCUUACCAAGGCAACGAUGCGUAGCCGACCUGAGAGGGUGAUCGGCCACACGGGAACUGAGACACGGUCCAGACUCCUACGGGAGGCAGCAGUAGGGAAUCUUCCGCGAUGGGGGAAAGCCUGACGGAGCAACGCCGCGUGAGUGAUGAAGGUCUUCGGAUCGUAAAACUCUGUUAUUAGGGAAGAACAAAUGUGUAAGUAACUAUGCACGUCUUGACGGUACCUAAUCAGAAAGCCACGGCUAACUACGUG
rnacentral:rRNA from 1 species